UUUCAAAAUAUGCACUUAACCAGCUCUAAUGCUGAGAGGAAAAUCUUCACUUUUAUAAUUUUUUUGUAUAUCCAAGUAAAUAUGUAUAACAACUUUCUCCUAAGACAUUUCCCCCUUUUGGUUCUAGAGACCAAAAAAAUUGUUGUCUAUGUUUCUAAACUUUUUUUCAAGGACUUCACACUUUUAAAUUCAAGUUGAAUACCCGUUAUCUGAAAUGCUUGGGACCAGAAGUGUUUCAGAUUUUGGAUACUUUUGGGUUUUCGAAUAUUUGACUAUAUACCUUGAGAUAUAUCAGGGAUGGGACCUAAGUCUGAACAAAAAAUUCAUUUAUGUUUCAUAUACACCUUAUAAACAUUGCCUAAAGAUAAUUUUAUACAAUAUUUUAAAUAAUCUUAAGCACGAAACAAACUUUUGACUGUGUUUUGACCGCAACUCAUCACACGAGGUGAGGUGUGGAAUUUUCUACAUGUGGCGCGAUGUCAGUGCUCAAAACAUUCAGAUUUUGGAGGAUUUUAGAUUUUGGAGUUUGAGAUUACAGGUGUUCAACCUUUGUAUCAAACACAACCAAUUUAUUAACAAAGCAGGUACAAAGUACAACACACUUAUGCCCCUAACUUUUGAAGAAAAGCAAAAAAGAUUAGUAGGUAAAAGUUGUUUUUCUCUCCCACAAAUCAUCUUUGCUACUCACACACACAUAUACUUUGCAAGUGUUUCCAAAUCUCUGAAAACUUCACAUCUCUUGUCUCAAGCUCUAGGUAUGUACCUGCCUACCAUAGUGUGGUGUCAAAGGGAAGGUGUCUGAGCAAACUUAUUGAUCUUAACCUUUUCUUCUCCACCUAUGGCAGAAGCCACAAAUACCUUAUGUAAAGGGCUUGCAGCUGUGCCCUGUGAAGGAGCACUCCCUCCAGACUGGGCAUGCGUCCUGGCCUCUGUUUGGAAUGCUCUCUUUCUGCCUCAGUUUCCUUCCUGAUGUAUAUAUAUAGACUCAGCCUCUCUGCCCAAGUCUUCUAUGAUGACAGCUCACUAGGCAGGCAGCGUGGAUCUAUGUUCCAGUCUCCUCUUGCAGAUCAGAUACCACCUCUGAGAUCCUUCUCUGCUCCUCACUGACCAAACUCAAGGAACAGAUCUUCCCUGCCCAGGUCUCCAGGACCCCAACCUACCCACUUCUAGGAGAGAAUUCACACAGGGGAAGACCGUGUGAAGACACUGGAAGAAGACAGCCAUCCACAAAGCAAGGACAGGAGCCUUGGAGGAGAACAAUCCUGGGGACUCCUUGAUCUUAGACUUCUAGCCUCCAGGAUUAUUAGAAAAUAAAUUUAUGUUAUUUAAGCUGCCCAGUCUGUGGUACCUUGCUAUGGCAGCCCUAGCAAAAUAAUUCACAGGCUAUUUACACUUGAACAUGAAUUAUUGAUAGUAGGGAAAAAAAAUGAGCCCUGUAACUUUCCUAGUCUUGAGGAAUAGAGACUACAAACAAAUCAAGUCUUCUGUGGGAAUGCUGGGCCAUGGGCUUUGGAAUCACCACCAGUGAUGGAACCCGAAGUAAGCUACUAAACCUCGACAGGCUCAUUCAUGAAUCACCACCAGUGAUGGAACCCCAGGUGGUCCUGAAAGGAGGAGGUGCUUUGCUUCUCUUUUUCGCAGAUGUCAAUUAUGGAUCAACUUCUGAGUCACAUAGAAGAGCACCAUCAAUUGGCCAUUUCUCACCUGAUCACUGAGGAUAUAAAGUGCUUUUCCAGACUCCAGGACUCGGUUCAUUGCUAGUAUCAGGACGCCUCUCAUGUAUGGGAAGCCAGAAACAUCCCAGGAGCCUCACUGACUGCUUGGGCACAGCCCUCUGAGCAGACCUAUGAAGAAACAGAAGGAUUUGUGCCUUUUAGGUAUCUCUGGUCAAAACAGGUAUUUGAAGUUCUGAUUCUGCUAUUAUCUGGCACCUCCACUUGGCCCAUUGCUGGAAAUAUUAGGACUAGAAAACAUCAAGAUCAGGCACCGAACAGGCAAAUCUCCACUGAGUGGUUCUGAUGUGCAAAUAGCUGAUGAAGACUGGUUAUGGUUAUAAAAUG
rnacentral:lncRNA from 1 species